UACGGGGGGGGCAAGCGUUGUUCGGAAUUACUGGGCGUAAAGGGCUCGUAGGCGGCCAACUAAGUCGGACGUGAAAUCCCCGGGCUCAACCCGGGAACUGCGUCCGAGACUGAAAGGCUUGAAUCCGGGAGAGGGAUGUGGAAUUCCAGGUGUAGCGGUGAAAUGCGUAGAUAUCUGGAGGAACAUCGGUGGCGAAGGCGGCAUCCUGGACCGGUAUUGACGCUGAGGCGCGAAAGCCAGGGGAGCAAACGGG
rnacentral:rRNA from 1 species